rnacentral:rRNA from 1 species
AGCGAACGCUGGCGGCGUGCCUAACACAUGCAAGUCGAACGUGAAAAGGGAAACCUGAGUAAAGUGGCGUACGGGUGAGUAACGCGUAGGUAAUCUACCCCAGAAUCUGGAAUAACCUGCCGAAAGGCGGGCUAAUACUGGAUAGAGCGAGGGAACUCGUAAGAGAGUUUUUCGGGAAAGGGAGCCCGCAAGGGCCUUCGUUCUGGGAUGAGCCUGCGUCUCAUUAGCUAGUUGGUAAGGUAACGGCUUACCAAGGCGAUGAUGAGUAGCUGGUCUGAGAGGAUGAUCAGCCACACUGGAACUGAAACACGGUCCAGACUCCUACGGGAGGCAGCAGUGGGGAAUCUUGCGCAAUAGACGAAAGUCUGACGCAGCCACGCCGCGUGAGUGAAGAAGGCCUUCGGGUUGUAAAGCUCUGUCGGAUGGGACGAACAUCUUCAUAGUGAAUAGCUAUGAGGACUGACGGUACCAUCAAAGGAAGCACCGGCUAACUCCGUG